CGCCUGAGCUUUACAAGAAGUUUUCAACGAGAGCUCCCGUCACCACGGCGUGGUCAUCCACCAGCAGUACCAAGACCAAAACUACCACUACCACACCCUAUUUGAACUUUAUGUGUCAACACCCAUGCUUGGAACUCUAUGAAGAUUUCGGCAUAGUUUGUGCACAACGGUUCAACGGUUUACAGUACGAAAUGAAGCAAUUCAACGAUACGUGCGACCUCUACUUCGCUAACUGUAUAAGCCCAUACAACAAGAACAAAUGGGACUGGCACGUGGGUAAGUGGUACCUAGUCUACCGAGGUCCAUGCUGGGAGUUAUCAACGACGUUCGCUCCACCGCCGGUUAUACCUACCAGUUUGAAGAGCCGAGCCAACUUUUGGCUGUCCAAAGUGUACUAUAAUAAGAAAAAUAAUGUGUAUGACUUGCAUUUUUAGGGUCGAACCGCAUUUGCGCCGCGCAGCGCGGC